rnacentral:lncRNA from 1 species
CCUGUCCCUACAGACUACGCAUUGCAGAAUCUAAGACAUCAAGUCAAGUUCGGAAGCACUUGCCUUCUCCUCUCCAGGUACACAGGCUCUCCUGGAAAGCUGGUAGCAGCUGUGGAGGUGUGGUGUGUUACCUGCUGCAGGUGCAGAGAAGUUGACUUCACAGCCCUUCAGAAAGACUGCCUUCUUCCAGUUGUAUUUGUGUACUUGCUUGGGUGUGGGGAGGAUUCUCAGCUUUCUCCACUCAAAUUAUCAGACCCUUUCCAUUUAGUGGUAGACCAUUUCCCUCGUCCAGGCCAAGGGCACAUAGUACAGAGAAAUAGGGAGUUGUUACCCAGGGAGAGAACUUGGCUCUAAACCUGUAAUAGAAAGGUCAGUUCUGGUCUGGAGGGUCAAUUUUGAUCUUUGGCUCAGAUCCAGGAAUUGGAACCAAGGCUUUUGAACAUUUUAAUGCAGGGGAUUAAAAAAAUGAUACGAGUCAUUCACGAAUAUAUUUGCUUAACAUCUAAAGAGAUCCCUCAAAACACUAGAAAAAAUAAGAACAAAAAUCUAAUAAAACAAAAUUUG